UCUGCUGAUGGGUGAGGUGAGCAGGUUGCUUUUUCCCUGAGUCUCUCUCUGACUCCAUACUGAUGGAGAGUUGCCUGCUGGUCCCAUGUGCCCCUGUGGGCAGGGGUCUGGAAGAGAACAGGGGUUGCUGCUGAAUGCAAGGGGGACAUGAAGAUUUGGACAAGGAAGUGUUUGGCUGCAGAAAUACAGACUUAAAGUACUGAGCGUAGUGCUGAUCUUACAGGAGCCAUAGGAGUUCCAGUAGGAACUGCAGCAGGGCCUGGAUUUUUCAAAUCAUGUGUUUGUUUUCUUCUGCCUAGGAAAAAAAAAGCUGACCUUGUCAUUUUUUAGGCAUCUUGGGCUGUUCAUGUCUUGCUCUGAUCUGAAGCUCGCAGUUGUCAGAUUCCCAUAAAUCCUAAUAACUGACAAGUAUGUGUACAUAGCUCUGCAGUCUGACACUCUCAAGCUGUUGGACUCUCUGGAGGUGCUGUGUUAUCAUCCACACAUGCAAGCAGUGGGCGUGAUGCAUUUAGAAAAUAUGGGACCUCUGGCACUCGUGCAUAUUUUUGUACAAGAAAUCUGAGGCAGAAAUGUGGCAACUCUAUCCCAGCAGCUUCAUGUAGCCCUGGGUUGUUAAAUAGUCUGUCAUGUCCUACUGCUGCUAAAAUAUAAAGAAAAAUCAAUGGGGCAUUUAACUAAUGGCAAGCUGUGAUAAAGGGAGUUCUUUGGUAAAAAGCAAGAACCUGCAGGAGGUUGGAGUGGGAGGAGCAGAGUCUGAUUAAAGGGUAAUGGGGUUCCUAUCAUUUCAAGCUUGCUUGGGGAGAAGUACAGAAAUGCACGGCUCUGGGCAGCUUGAAGAAUCCUGGCAGGAGAUCUCUGUUCUGAAUGAGGGUAAAAAAUGAACUGAAGGAGGGGGUGAUGUGCUGUGGGCCAAAGAGGGGUCUUGAAAUCCCUGCUCAUCUCUGUGGUCUCCUGGAGAGAUGAGCAAUGCUUUGCCACACUCAGAGCACGCCAUCCCAAGGCUGUGUUGGGGCACUGGUGACAGGUGUCACCCUGUGCCAAAGCUUGGUGCUGAUGGAGGAGUGCUGCAGGAUGUCACUGCACAUCAGCCUGGGACUGAGGGAGAGGACAAGGAUGUGACAUUGCGUGGGAGCGCUUAGCUGCACAUUAAUUUCUGAGUGUUUAAUCUGCUUAUUCUCUUGAGCUGUUCUUGAGCAACGAACUCUGCUGGGGAUAAAGGAGGAGUGAUUUAUAGCUUUAAAAUUAUCGGUGCUUCAGCAGAUCACCAGCUUCAGCUUGUAUGGCUUUCUUGCUUUGCUUUAUAGAUGCUUCUCUGAAGCUCACACACACACACAAGGCUGUGUGCAGGCAUUUGGUGUUGUCCUUGCCAGAAACAUGACCUUGGACAGCUGAGAUGGGAUUAUUGAAACAACAGCCCCUUCCACACCCGCCAGCACAGCCCUUGCGCCCCCAUUCUGCUUGUUAAGCUCUGCCUGAAGCCUUGCUUGUGGCUUCCUAUCAAGCGUAUGAUUUAGAAACUUCCCGGGUCACCUUUGCAAUAUCUCACAUGCAAUUGAUGGGGAAUCCGGGGACACAUUUUAAAAGUAAAUUACAUGGAACAAAUAAACCAAUCUGCUUCUAAGGCACUUGUGCCUUUGAAAACACUGGCACUGACUAGCUGCUUUUUAAAAGGAUAUUUGUAUUUGUUCUAAUUGAGUUGACUUUUGGAGGGGGAAAAAAAAAAAAAAAACAAACAGAAAACAACCCAAUGAUGUGAGGGAUGUUUUAGGAGAUGUCUGUUCUUAAUCCGUGCUCGGCUGCUCACACAGCCACAAGAGCGAGGGUGUUGAGGUUACUUUCCUGCAUAGGGCUGUUGGCUGUACCUAGGAUCUGGGCUUUGGCAGCAGCUCGUGCCCUUGCUAGCCUGGAAGAAGCAGCCCAUGAGGUGGUUGUUCUUGUCAGGACUCUUUUCUUCUGCUCUUUAUCUCCCCACUUUCUGCAUCUAACCGUGCUCUUAGCCUGCUGAUCCUCUGGCAGAGAGCUCCUCCCUUCAUUGAUUGCUGGUGAUGUUCUCCUGGGGUUGGCAGGACUCACAGCAAUAGCUUUGCACCUUGGGCCUCAUUCCAAGCAUUUCUGACUGAGUUAGUGAUCAUUAACAACCUGUGUGUGCUCCAUCAGAUCACCUGGCAGCGUGAAUUUGCCUACCUCAAUAUGAUGCUGUCAUCAUGUUUGUCAGAUGAGCUGGAACUGGCAGUCCUGAGCUCAGGCUGGUGCUGUGGUUCCUGUGCCAGCUGUGGGUAACAGAUGGUGCCUGCUCUGCCAUAACCUUUUCUCUGCAAUCAGAUAAGGCAAGGCUGAGGACAGAGGUUACCUGAUUGGGCACAGAGCCUGUCAGGACAAAGUUAAUGUGCCAGUGCUUCUGGAAUGUGUCCGAACUGGGAGUUUAUAGUGGAUCAGCAUAUCUGGGCUGCAUGCUUACAGUGCAGCCUGGUCUGGAGAAGGGGAGGCUGAGAGGUGCCCUCACUGCUGUCUGCAGCAUCGGAGGAAGGAGAGCACAGGGAGAUGCUGGGCUCUGCUCCCUGGUGCAUACGGCAGUGGCUCAGCUGUACUGAGGAAGGUCAGGCUGGGCAUUGGGCAAAAACUGCUUCAGUGUGAGGGUUCCAAGCUCUGGGACAGGUUCCUGGUGAGGUGGGUGGUGCUUCAUGCCUGCCAGCGUUUGAGAAGCGUUUGGUCUGUGCUCUCAAUAAUGUGCCUGAACUUCUGGUUAGCUGUGAAGAGGGCAGGCAGUUGGGCUCAGGUGUUCAGUUGGAAGGGACUCUCGAAAACCUGUUCUGUUCUAUUAAAGUGCUGCUGAAAGAAGGCCUCCAGUGACCCUGUCUCUGGCUGUUGUGUUGCCAGCAGGCUUUAUUCCUUUUCUUUCAAGAGGAGAAUCUCACUUCUCAAGGCCGACUGAGAUUCAGAGAUGUUUUCUGCUUUGGAGGUCUGGUGCUGUGCUUUUCCACUUUGCUGCUCAUGAAAAAAGUGCUGCUGAGUUGAGCAGUUUCUGGAGGAUGUGACAAAAGCCCACUUGGGCACACGGUUAUUCAGAUGGCACUUCCCUGUGGUAAUGAAACUAGCUCUUGGCCUCCUUUCUGGGACCAGGAGGAGGCAGGGAUGGCUCAUGUUUUCUAGGCAAGCUGAAGAAUCAUGAAGGGCUCGAGAUCCUGGCUAGCAAACCUGCUAAUUCAGCCAGUUACUGCUGGGCUGCUGGGGAGAAGUAAGGCAUCUUGUGUGCCACGUCAAGCUGCUCAUCGCAUUUGUCUCUAUGAGGUGUGUUCUUUCCUGUUAGUUUCGAAUACAGCUAAUUGGAAUGCACUUACAGAGUUUCUGCCUGCAGGCUCUGGCAGAGAUGUUCUGCCCUGUGGCUUUGGGUUCAUCUGUGCCAGCCGACUUUCUUAAUUGAUAGCAUAUACUCUGCACUGACACAGCAAGCCAUAAACUGCAGCAAGUGUCCCAGGGAGGGAAAUCUGGCAGGAGGAUUCUGGCUCUGCCUCAGUACAAAAACACAUUCCUGGAUAAGCGUUAUCGGGUGCGUUCCCGUCUCUGACUGGGGAUGCUCUGGAAUUUCUGUUGAAGUAGAGAUGCCCGGGAGAGAUUAAAAAUGCUGCAGAUGGGUUUUCCUUGGGCUGCAGAAGGUCUGUGGUCUCUGCCAGCUGGCUUGCCUCAUCAGGGCAGAACAUGUAUGUGACUCAUAGAUGUAAUUCUGGGAACGUGCUCUAGGGGGAAAGUGAGAAGAUAGGAGCGCACAAACGGUCUGAAGCUGGGUUGUAGAUGCAGGACUUCAAGCUGUCGGGUGGGCAAUUUGGAAUUACUGGGCCAAACGUGGAGUCCUCAGGGACUCAACACAGGGGAGCUGGUGAGUGUUGAAUUGCACAGCGCCCUGCCCUGUGUCACUCCCCACGCAAGCUGAGAUCCAGCCCAGCUACAGCUUGUCUGCAAGAUUGACUCCUCCACACUCCUGGAACAGUUUAGUGUCUGAAACAGUGACAGAAAACAAGGUGGAAGGUGUCCUGGCUUACAGUGUUCAGGAUGAGUGCUAUUAGGCAUUUAAGUAGGAAGAAAGAUGCCUGCUGUAUGGCACGUUCUGUACAGCUGGCCAAAAGGCGUUGUGAAGUUCUCUGUGCCUUUGUGUGGGCGCUUCUCUCCAAUGCUCUGAUGCUUGCUAUGGAAAUGUGACAUGGCUUGAAGAGGUGGAGGGGAUGUGGAAGAUGCAUUCUUUCAAAAGAAACGCGUGGACAUGAAAUGAGAGUUUCCAUAAACUUCCUGAAGGGAGGUUGUGGUGCAAAAGGGUCUGGCCUCUUCUCCCAGGCAAAUAGUAGGACCUGAGGAAAUGGCAAGAAGUUGUACCAGAGGAGGUUUAGGUUGGAUAUUAGGAGAAACUUUUUCUCUCAAAGGGUGGUCAGGCACUGGAAUGGCUGCCCAGGGAAGUGGUGGAGUUGCCAUCCCUGGUAGUGUUCAAGAGGCGCCUGGAUGAGGAGCUACGAGAGAUGGUUUAGUAGCUUGUGGCACUGAUAGGAAUGGGAGGGUGGUUGGACUGGAUGAUCUUGCAGGUUGUUUCCAACCUUGUGAUUCUGUGAUAAGUAAUUAAGGAAAAGCAAGACUUCUGAAUAUUAGUACUUAGAAUUAUUUGUAAUUUCUUCACCUAAUUCAAAGGUAGUUUGUCUUAUCCUUGGAUAAGGUACGAUUGGAUUUCAUGGAAAUAGAGAGGGUAGCCGUGCACUGACGUAGCAGAGGUAGAGCUGCUGAGGCCAGCAAAGAAGCUUUGGGAUUGCUGGUGGCUGCGAUGUUUGCAUGUCCCUGACAGCUGAGCUGUAUGCGCUCAGACGGGCUCCCCAGCCCGGGCUUUGGGCUCCCACGGCCUCUGCAGAGCACUGGGAGGAGCUGGGGGCUGAAAGCCUGAGCUCUAAGCCCUGGGGAAGCCUCCUGGCCCUGCUCUGUGCGCAGUGUUCUCUUGACUGCUUCAUGUGGGAAGCGCCCCAGUGUGGGGUGAGCUCGUGAGGCUGUUUGCAAGCAGUUUGUGGCCUGCUUGCUGUGCCUGUUGCUUUGGCAGGCUCCAGGGGCUGGAUGUUGGUGCUCGUUGCUUCUGCCCCGGCUUAUGGCUGCUCUGGGACCGCUGUGGUCUCACGCCAUUGCUGUCCUUUGACACAGACACGCUGUUCUCAGCGCUUGCUGCCUGCGUACCUCUAUGCUCGUGCUGCUGUCUGGGUGGUGAGGCUUUCCCUGGGCUCUGGCAGUGACUCAGCUUCAUCUCCUCGGGGUGUGCUCCUCACUGCCUGCCUUCUUAUCUCUUAGCAAUCCUGUGCUGAUCCAUUGGAGGAUCUGUGUGCUGGAAACAAGUUGGUACGGCGCCUUCAGAGCUUGCUCCCUGCACCUUCCUCUCGUACCCUGCCUUCAUCACAGCUUGUUCCCAGGGCAAGGCAUCAGCUGCCUUCUGCAAGCACAGCUGUCGUCCUUAGAGGAAUCAGUGUUCUCAUUUCAAAACAGGAAUCUAACCACAACCCCCCUCCCCGAAACCAAACCCUGAACCCGCAGCCCUCGUGGGCAGCCUCAGGCAGUCUGAUGGUCUCUGUGAGAUAUUUCCUCUGCUUUUCCACUUAGCUUCAUCACGUCAACUAUUCCUUGAACCUCGCUCUGAAAUGUCAGUUGGGGGUUGCCAUCGUUUCGGUGCUCUGUCUCAUGCUGUUGCUUGUGGGUUUUGCUGUGUAGACUGGGUAACAGAAAUGGGAGGAAAAAACCCACCAAAAACAAUGAAAACACACGGAUUCUGUAAUUGCUUUGGAAUCUGACGAGCAGCAGAUGGCUCUGUGCUCUUUGCGAGCACCCAUCCUCUGCAUACCAAGGACUAGCUACGUCAUGUUGUUCAACAAGCCACAGAAAUUAUAUUUUAAUCCAACCUUGCUUCCCCCUUCUUCCUCCCCCACCCCCCGUGGUUUGUUGUUGCACUCAGUAGCUUGCCAUAAUGCAUUUCGUCCUGCCUGCUUCUGAUUGGAAACACAAGACACAACUUCAUUACAAGCUCUAUGGCUUCCCCCCACACUUAACAUACCGUACAAAUUGUUUGCUCAACUUUGGCAUCUUGCCUCAGAGGAAUUUUUGUCAUUUGAAGGUUUUAAAUCAGCUAUUUGAGCCACUCACAAUUGUAAAUAAUAGCCUAUUAGUUUAUAAGAGACAUACUUGCUGGCAUUUCAAGCCUCUCAGAGGGAUCACACUGUCUUGGAAACCCUGUAACGCCUAUGGAACUGAGCACUGUUUAAAGAAACCCCCAAACACUGCCCUGGGAAAAUUCAUUUAUAGAAAAUAAGUGAAACGAAUAGAUGUUUUUAGCCACAUGUUACUCAUUUUCUUUUUAUUGCUUUAACAUGUCUUCACUGGAACAUGUUACCAUUGGAGGCUGCUGGUGCCAGCUGUACACCUGGCUCAAGUUGGGAAGAAAUGGAGUUUGGCCUUUCAUCUUCACUGCUUUCUGUUAUGAUUGGAACCGAGGGUUGGCCCCAGAUCAGACAAAGGGUGAGCUGAAAACCAUCCUCAGAGCUGGUUUCUAGAGGAAGCCUUAUAGGGUUGUGUGUGGGGGGUUUGGCUUUUUUUUUUUUUUUUCCUUCUCUCCCUUUUUGGAGCUCUUGUAUUGAGUUUAUAUACUGGCAGAGGCAGGAAACCAUUGUGUACAAUAUGGCAAACAGAGCUAACAGGCAGUCAGGCCAAAGGCUAUAAAUUAUUAUUUUAAUUUCUUGGUUUAUGGUUUCUUGUUGACUCCAGAUCAAUAGGAGAAAGAUGCAUUGAGCCACCUCUUUUAAUUAAAAAGGCUUCUGUGAUUAGGCUCUAGUGAGGGAUGAAGAGGCGCGUGAAGAGGAUGUGCCUGGAAGCAGAUGGUGGUUUCCAGGGGGAGGAAUGCUGCUUUCCCCUGUGCUGUAUCACUCAUUUUCUAGUGGCCAAGUUUCUGGAGGAGCUAUGGGAGAAACCCAACUGCACUGCAGCUCACUUCACCCAGCUUUCUUCCAGCCUGGUUUGUGUUUGCAUCCUCACAUCCCGAGCCAGCGGACCUUGUUUCCCAUUGAAUAAAAAAGCACUGUGUUUUAGCAGACUCUUCUGCUUAUUUUAAAACAACUCCAGCUUCGUUUCACCCUCAACUUGGGCCACUUGCCCCGUAGUGCUGAGAAAUCGUUGGCAUUUGGUGCCUAACAGGUGCAGCAAUAUUUUUCUUUCCAAAGGAUUUCCAGAGUGAAAUGCACAUCUGUAACAAAGCCGGUAUUUUUCUGCUCAUCACCUUCAGACAUGGCCAUAAUUAAAUGCAGAUAUUAAUACCGAGGGCUACUUUGUGUUCCAUAAUCCGUAGGAGAAUGACCCGUUGCACAGCGCUUGUUUGAAGUCUUAGUUAACCUUUAAUCAUUUGAUGCUGAAUCUGGCUUUGAUUUUCACAGCAGAAAAAGUAUAUUUUGCAAAGCCUUCAGGAAGGAAACGUGCCAAUCCCACAGUGUUUCUCAUCAUGCUGUGGAUGUUACUUUCAAAACCUCUUGGGUAAUGCUGUGAGCAACAAAGGCUUUUUCCAUUCCUUGCUUGCACUCCGCCUCUUGUAAGGCAGCAUUGGAGUAAUGACUUAAAUGCUGCUAACGUUUGUUUUGCUGAAGGAGACCUGGGCCGGUAGAGCAGGCCGGCGUGGUGCAGGUCUCAGAUGUGGAAUUUCCUCAGCUCUAAGGACAUUUUUACACCGGGUGAUAAGUCUAUAAAGUGGAUCUGGUUCUGCACUGGCCUCUCUUUGCCCUCCGUGGUAUCAUUAGACGGACAGAUGGACGGCUGUGCUCAGGGAUGCAGGAGGUGGCAAUCCUGUUUGCUGGGGUGAGUUUUCCUCCCUCCGCUCAGCACCAGAGCCAAGCACACGUGGGCACCUGUGUAUGCAGGACGGCACUGCGGGCACGGAGCGCACAGCCCCCAGGUGUUCAUCUCUGCCUGGGGGCAGUGGGGUGAGCGUGACCCCUGGGGAGGAGAGACCGCAGCCCCAUAGCACAUCCUCCUGCUGCUCCUGAAGGUGGGAGGACAAGCAGCCCUAAAGCUCACCUGGUUUGCAGAGGCUUCUCUGCGCCAUGCAGUGCUGAUGCGAGGGCCUGGAGCUGGCGCACCUGCCUGCAGGGAGCAGCCCAGCCCACCCGCAGCCCACAGCCCUGCCUCGUGCCACCAUUUGCUGGUUUGUGCUUCCUUUUUUCCCCCCUCCAGAAGUGCUGAUGGACAAGUUGAGUAACCGUAUCUGCUCGUUACAGGACAUCUUGAGGCUGAUUGCGGAGGUCAGGACUCAACUGGAAAGACCGCAACGGGUUGCUGACUGGCAUCCACGGCCCAGAUAAGAUAAAAACAACUGAUGACAGCGGGGAAGUGAAACAGUCAUCUCAGCACUUGGAUUAAUGCCCGGCGAGAAGGAAGGGAAAAAAACGAGGAGGGCCGUAAGGGAGGGGAAGGGGGUGGAAUACGGAUGAGAAUAGAAACUCUGGAAAAAAGCUAUCAGGAGGCAGCAGAGCUGGGUGUUAAAUAUUUAUGAAUUAGCAGCUCUCGUCGUGCCCUGCCUGUGCCGUGUGGGUGCUGCGAGGGGAGGGAGACGAGGUGACCGUGCGGUCGUGGCUGGGCAGCAACAGCACCAUGCAGAACAAAUGCAGGUGAAGAGGAAAAGGGUAAAUGAGGCACCGCAGAAACCGCUAUUCCAAAAAUUCUGCUGAAGAGCAGUGGGGUAAUUAAAUCAUAAUUGCUUCUUGCUCAGCUGGAGUGACAUUGUGAGUGGCUGAAGGUGGUGAGAAGAGGAAGGGGAAGUUUCGCCGCUGCUCCGCUUGCAAUGGGGCAGCCCCAAACCUGCUGGGCCCCAACCCCUCUGCCCCCACCCUCUGCUCGGGGCUGGCUGCUGCCUCCUGCUGCAUCCCACUCUGUGCUGUGCUGGUACAGCCCAGGGGUGGGCAUCCCUGGUGCGAGGAGCUGAUGUGCCAAACCUGAGAGCUUUGGAGGAGCCAUUCCCAACUGUGAGACAAGCAGUCUGCAAAUCCUGAAUCACCUGUUGCUCCUCCCCAUCCCUGUUACCAUGCAGACGGGUCAUCCCUGCCUGAGAUCCCAGUGGAUGCCGGUGGGAGUGCUGUGCCCACAGCUGAUCCUGGCACCGGCUGGAAGGCGAUGGGAGGAGGAAAAGAGCUCUGGCGACACAGACAAUAAAAAGUCUUUGCGUUCCACUGAAGUUUCUUGAGCAACUGGCAUUUGCCCAUAAAUGUACUUAAGCAGAAAAUCACCAGAAAAGUGCUAUAAUCUGACAGAUUUUUCACAGGCUUAAAUAUUCAUGAAUUAAAAGAAUUGGCAGAAUUUUCUACAUUAUUAGCUUUCAGCAUGGCUACGGGAGCAGUUGGUGCACUGGCUGCUCUUCAAAAACUAUUAAUCUAGUCUGUCAUCACAGCAGCCAUUUUUUAAUUAGCUACUUUGCUGAACGAUCUGGUGCAGCAGCGAGACUGGAACAUUUACGUGGUAUUAAAGUUUUAAAGGUGCCCCUUUCCAUUUUUGAGCAAAGUUCUGAAACACAGCAAUAGGGGAAGCGAGGCGGAGGCGGAUCGCUCCGCUCCAAUGGUUAACUGCUGCUUUUAUUUUGGAAAAUCACGGCUUGGAAUACAGAGCUGCUUCUACGAGGAGGAGAAAUUGCAUGAAAUAAAUUGGUUCUCUAAACUGAAGUUCACAGCAUUCCUUCCCCAUGAAAUCAAAAGGAGAUGUUUGGAGCCGAAGCCUUGCGUGCGGAUCUCAUGGAAAAUGAGGGGGCAUGGCACUGCCUGCGGCGGGCAGGAUUUAUUGCUGCCAGUCCCACGGGGAGAUGGCAGCGGGUGGGGGAUCUGUGUGUCUGCUGAGCUGAGCUCCAGAGGGCUGGGGUGGACCCUUCCCAGAUUGAGAGGCUGCGGUGAGCUGGCUGCCAUGGGAGCGCAGGGCUGCUCGGGGCCGUGCCUCCAGCAUUUGUACCCAUUCUGGCACUGAUACCCCAACCCCGGCACUGUACCCAUCCCUGGCAGAGCUCUUGUGUGGUUACGGGGCUGGGUCUGUGCUGGCCUCGCACUCUGGGUUUUGUUAGCCCCAUGUACAUCAUGGGGCUCAGCCCCGAGCUACUCCUGGCUCUAGAGGAGGCAUUGCUCCCAAACAGCUGGAAACAGCUCCCAAAGCUGGUGUUCACUGAGCCAUGCGCUCUGGCUUGGAGGGUGGACAGCCCAAUCCUUCUACUGUCCUCGGUACUGGCUGAUGGUAGCGGAGCAGGAGCACAUGGGGGGGAUGCUCUCAGCCCCCAUCCCAGCUGCCGCAGGUGGCAUGGGCAGAGACCCCACAGUGCCAUCCCCAAGGAGACCUGGUGAGCUCAGACCCUGGCCCCAAGCACGGCGGCUUACAGGCAUAGCUCUGGGUUUCCCAUCCAAACCUCAUCACCCAGACAUUGGCACAGUCCCUCCUGAGCCCUGCUUUACUCUCUGCCAGAGCUGCUGCUCUCCUGACUUGCUAUUUGCAUGUGAAAAAGCAGCAAAAUUAUGUCUUUAUGGUGGUUCUAAGAGUGCCGCUUUUUGGCAUCGCUGGGUGCCUCUCUGAUCUGUGCUGCUGGGUCCCAACAGAGCUUUUCUUUGGGCACUGUGAUGCCUGUGUCUUGCUGCCUGCAGGGUGAGAAAGGCGUGCUGGAAGUUUCUUUCUUUUCCAUUGUCACGGAAAGUGAGAGCUGUAAAGAAAUGGCAGUGCUGCCAAUGCCAGUGCUGCACAUAUAGCGCCUGCAGUGCUGCUCCUUGUAUGCCCUGCUGCCAUGAGAAGUCGUUUCAAAGGAGGUUUCCCUCUUCCUUGCCUUGAUAUCAUGGAAGGGAAUGAGCGCUUUUUGGCUGCUGUGAAUCUCAUGCCCUGCACAGAGAUCCCAAUUAGUAGGAGAAGCGGAGGGGGAAACCCCACUCUAUAGCUCCAAGGCAGGAAAAAUGGGGAAACAAUCCCAGAAAAACUUUGCGGUGUGAUAAUUUUCAUGUGGUUUUCUGGGUUUGGAUUCCUUGGUGGGUUUUGUCUUCCGUUGGCCAUUCCACUCCUCCAUUCAGCUCCUUCUGCCCCGGGGCUGGGAAGCCCGAAUUGCACCAAGCAUCCCUUGCAGGGAUGGCAACGGGAACAGGGGCAGCCACCGCUGCUGCACUCCAAUGCUAUGAAUUCUUUUUUAAUCCUUCAUCAUUUUUAAUGUGCAGUCACUUAAAUGAGGCACACACCCUUCUUGGCAAUUAUUUGUAAUUGUCCCCUGUGAGUUCUCGAACAAAACACUCUUUAUUAAUACUUAAAGCUUCUAAAAGCAUUGCAGAUCAGAUGGAGAUACUCUAUCCAGCGGGCUGCACCACGCACUGCAGCCCGUUAAUUAAAUUUGCCAGAUAGGAUUAUUUAUUAGCAGUAUAUGCUCAAGAUGCUCUUUGAAAUGUGGGGCUGUCCCGUGCUUUCUGCUGCGUCAUACACGGCACUGAUAUUUACACUGUGGGAAAAGGGAGCUUUUCCAUUUGAAUUCAAAUGAACAUCUGAGAGAAACGAGAGCGUUCACGGAGGAUGGCCAUGCUGAGAUCCCACUGCAUGCGGCUCCGCGUGGUUGGAAGGAGCAGGGGAGGAGGAGAGAGUUGCAGUGGGAACAGAGGGGGUGAUGGAUGGCAUGGGGCUGGGAUGGAGCUGCUCUGCCCCACGGAUAGCCCUGCUGCUGGGGGUGCUCAGUGCAGAGCCCCUUGGUGUGAGCUCCAGGAGACCCAAAGGAACUGCCGCCUAUUAAAAAAAAAUCAGCUGUAUCUCUCCUUGUUUGAACAACGGGGCCAUAUGUGUUUCCUCUCAUUAAAACUAUUUUUUUUUUUUAAAGGAACUCCUCUGCAGAAACAAGCGUGGAAACCGACGUAAUUAAAGGCUUCUUUUUCCCCAGUCGUGGUCCUCCGGUCUUUGAAGAGCGCGGGGAUCCCUGCGGAAUGCUCUGAACUCUGCAAUAUUUUGAUAGCUGCAAUAACAAAAUCAAAAGAUGCUUUCAUGACGAGAGCACCUUGUGCGCACUGCGGCCGCCCCGCUCCCCCCGUGCACAGACAGCUUCACGGGGCCCAGAGCUGCAUGCAGAUAGGAGCUGGAUUCCCAUCUGUCUCCUCCAGGGAUGGAGCUCUGCAGCCAUCGCGACGGGCUCUGGGAGAGGAGCAGUGUUCUCCUGCUGCUCCCCAGCUGCACUGCUGUGUGAUUCCCAUCCACAAACCCUGCACAGGAGCAAUGUGGGGGUGCAGCCCCGGGGCAGGGGCACCUCGGGGGCAGGGAGCUGGUGCUGAAGGGCCCCAGCCUUUGCUUUGCUUCCCUUCAAAUAGCUGCUCUCCUCCACUGGCCGUGCUACCAGGCUGCUACUCAUUCUGAAACCCUCAUUAAAAAACCCUUAAUUCCGCACUUUUGUUAGAUUACCGGCUCAUCUGCUCGCAGGAAUCCUUCUCUGUGCCUCAGCCAUUGAAAUCCUCGCUCUGUUCCUGCCACCCCUCGGAGCUGCAUCACCAUGCGUGUCCGCUCCACCCGAGCCUUGGCAGUGGGGGCUUUUUGGAAUGAGGAAAUUGGGGCAUUCCGGCAAUCGUCAAGCUGGAAUCAUUAAGCUUUCAUCAGGCCAAAUUAGGAUUUGGAGUCCCGCUGCCCUUCUUGCUCCCUAAUUGUGUGCACUCAGCCCUGGCUGUCCCGAGGCUCUGAUGUUGGAUACUGUCCAGGGUCCCAUUUUGUACCUGCAGACCCCAAGCCAGCUGCUGCCCCAUCUCUCCAGUUGUUGUUUAGCACUCCUGGCACAGAGUACACAGGUGCUCAGCAGCAGCAAUGCACAGACAGAAUCCUACCCCCAGGGAAGGCUGUGUGACACCCUGAGAGAUUCUGGGGCUUUUUGAGGGAGCUCAUCCAUCCCGGAGCUGAGCACCCCGAGGGCUGCAGACCCCAGUGCAGGUGCCCCCAUCCCCAUCCCAGCAGGAAUGAAUGUGUAGCCCCAGCAUCCUUCUGUCCUAAGGAUCCCCAAAAGCUACAGCACUGAGAAGGCCACAGAGGCACCUGCUCUCCUCUAACCUCCCCGUGCUUUGCAUGGUUUGCAUAGGGCUGGGUGGAGGCAGGACCUGCUGGGACCGAUGGGGCACACCAUGGACAUCCCCUCUGCUGUGCUGCACUGGGCUGAUGGCACUGUGCACGCUGUCAGUGAGCCACGGUGCAAGAAAAGAGCAGAAUUUGCAUUGCUGAUCUGAUUUCACAGAAUUUACCCCUUUUGCAGUGUGUGUGCAUGCACUUCCCCACGCUUUCUGAGCUUCCUGCCGCUCAGCUGACAGUGCUGACUUUCCUCCCACUCAAACCACCGUAGCACGACAGCCAGCGGGCGGGGAUGGAUCACAGCUCGCACAGUUUGGGGAGCAAAAUUCGCUUUCUUCACUCAUGAUUACUUCCCCCAAACCAUCUGAAUCCCAACGUAUCUGAAAUCUGUGUUUCCUCCCAGUCGGCGCUGUGAGAGCGAUGCUUUGGGGUCAACGUGGCCACAGACCCACAUUGCUGAUGGCUGUGGGCACCGUCCCCAGUGGAGCAGAGUGCACGUGGGGUGACAGCUCAGGCAGGGGUGGGUGGCUCGGAUCUCAGUGCUGGCUGCAGUUUCGGUGGCAGCUGAGACGGGCUGUGUGACACCCUGAGAGAUUUCGGGGCUUAUUGAGGGAGCUCAUCCAUCCUGGAGCCGAGCACCCCGGGGGCUGCAGACCCCAAUGCAGAUGCCCCCAUACCCAUCCCAUUGCCCAGCACUGAGCCCCUUGCACUGGCUCGGGGUUGGCCCUGCAGCCCUGCGAUCUGAACGCUCGGUAUUCUUCAGCCUGUUAUCAAUUUUCCCACAAUGCGCUCGCAUGAUCCUCUCUCAGACUUAACCACAUGGCAACCACAUCACAUAAUGCAAUUUCUGUUCUGAGAUUAUUCAUAUUUCUUUUUCCCUAUUGUUGCUUUGCCAAGUUUUUCUUCUAAUUCUGAGAAACCGAAUUUAAAAGAGCAGUGUCUCCAGCACAAGGACAGCCGAGGCGGCAGCGCCAGCGGAUCAGCCCGACAAGUGCCUUCACAGGAGUCACAGUGUGGGGAGCUGUGAAGAAGCAAUACAAAGGCCCUCCAAAUGUCUAUUUUUAUUUUAUUUCGUUCUCUGGAAUGUCUCAUCACACGAAAUAACAAUACAUCCUGGAGAGCACUGCAGACAGGCUCCAGCGAGAGGGCAGAUGAGGAGAGGAUUGUUUUAGCAGUGGGUUUUCAUACGCCAUCCGUCACGAAUGCUGCUUCCCAAUGGAAGGGAUGGAGGAGGAAUGCCAGGGGCUGGGAGCACCUCCUAAUUAAUUGCCCUGGGAGCAGCCAGCUGAUGGGGUUCUGCACUGAGGGCUGUUGUCCCCCAAAGUGCUGGCAGAGACACGGCAUGCAUGGGCAGCAGAGGGGGGCUCGGGCUCCCCCAGAGCUUGCAGAUUAGUUUUGGUCCUCUUGCUUUUGGCUGAUGGCUUUGUUUGGACCCAGGAUCCCCACUUCACAUCUCUUUUCUGAUGGAGCCGGCCUACCUUCAUUUUCCCUUCAUUUCUGCAUCUUUUAAUUCUUGAGUCAUCAUCCAUGCUGGCCAGUUUAGCAUAAGAAAUGAAAUUAAUUCUCCUUCUCAGGCUCCGAAUGUAAAUUCGUUUAUUAAUAAUUUAAAUAGAUUUAUUUAUGCAGUUUGAUAUUUUUCAGGUUCAGGGAAGCAGCUCAUUUUACUCGUGGUGAUGAUCAGCAGGCACCAUCCUUAGGCUCUUCUUCCCCAUCCUCCUCUCCCAGCCCAGCCUAUGGAACAGGGGAAGGAUUGGGGCUUCUGCAUCCUGCAGGCCUCCCAUCAGCUGAUGUCAGGAAAUAAUUCAUUCUACCUUAUCUCCUCUUUGCCUCGGACAUGUCCCCAAAAAAGGCUUUGAUUUGCCUUCCUAUUAUUUCCAGUUACCCCCCCACAAAGAGUUUCUGUCAAGUGUGCUGAGACUCCAUGGAAAGCAGCAGCUUUGCUUUAUAGUGUUAGCUGAAAAAUGGCUUUUUUAGGUCUCAGUGUUGAUGAAAGAUGGGGGGUGGCAGGAGGUUAUGGAACAGGCUGCCCAGAAAGGCUGUGGAUGCCCCAUCCCUGGAGGUGUUCAAGGCCAGGUUGGUUGAGCCCCUGAGCAUCCUGGUCUAGUAUUAGGUAUGGAGGUCGGUGGCCCUGCAUGCAGCAGGGGGGUUGGAGCUUGAAGAUCCUUGAGGUCCCUUCCAACCUGAGCCAUUCUAUUAUUCUGUGAUUCUACGUGCCCCUCCUGGUCCUCUGCUUUCUCUGCAGAAAACUGUGGGUGCAGAGGGUAGCAGACUUCAUGCACAUGCAUUCAACUUGCUGUGCUGCAUUGGCUCACGAAGCACCACCGUAGGCAAAAGCACCACAGUGCCAAAUGGGAUCUAAGAGCUCCCCCAGAAGCAAUGGGGGUUUGGUGGCACCUUUGGCAGCAGCUGCAUUUGCUGCUGGGGUUGAGGGCAGUUGGCAGCCCAGGGCAUCUGCACAACACAGCCUUGGAGAGUGGCACAGUGAAUGUCCAUGUGUCAAUGGCAGCCACAGCAUCUCACUGCCAUCCAGACAGCGCUGAGAGGCCAACCUGGCUCCAUAGGAUGCUGUGGAAUAUUUUUGGCAAGAAUCACACGGAUUUACUUGGAACUGAAUGUCCCUAAAAUGAAAUCCUCAAUCUGGAGACCCACAGGCUUUGUGCCCGUCAUCCAAGCCCACCUCACAACAGCUCUCUGCACCUGGUUUUCAUCUGUGCAAUGGGUCCGCCCAGCCCUCUGGUUUGGAAUACCACAAAACCCGGGGAAUGUUUGACAUUUAGAUCCAUUUCUUUGUGGCUUGGAUCCCUCUGAGAUGAAUGGAGCUUUCUAUCAAUCUGGAUUUGCUUUUCUCCCAACAUUCCCCUGCUGAACCCGUCAGGCUCGUGUGAAUCCCGCCUGGCUUCACGCUCUGUUACAGAGCUGCAAUGCUCUUUCAAAGGCUCACAGCUUUUUGCCCCAAACUGCUCUGAAGCUCGUGCAAACAGGGUGGAGUCAGCAUGGCCUCGGCUCCGGGAGGAGUGUUUGUUGCUUUGCUGGGUUCUGUGCAGCUGAAGUGCCCUGUGCUGCAGGUUGUGCUUCCACCUUGCACUUGCUUGUGAUGAGAUGGAAGUCACCAGGUGGACAGGCAGACAGACAGCUCUCAGACAUGCACUGCAGCCUGGCUUUCCCACCAUCCAGCUCUCCUUGCUUGCAUGAGGUUUUAGCAUUUCUCUUUUAUCUCAGCCUUGCGAGCUUCAAAGCUGACGUGAAGCCCAGCUGUACCUCGCUGCAGAUGGGAGCGGAGCAGCCCGUGCCUCCCGCGUUCAUCCUGCAGAACUGGAAUUGAUUUAUUUUGGUUGCAGCAGUAACGACUGCAGUUCCUGGCUGGAUGCAAACCAGGCUCUUCAGAGCCCUUUUAGCCUACCAGCUCUUAGGAAACCCUUUCCGAUGCCACCGUCUUUUGCUUUUGACUGCAAAAACUUAUGCAAAUAAAAGCCACUCUCCCCGUUUGUCUGAAUGCCUUUUUCUUUUUGAUGGGAACCAUGGGGAAGUCUGCAAGCACUGUCCCAUCAGAAAGCAUCAGAAGAUAUCUCUGGUGAGUGAUGGCACAGCUCAGACAGCCAGUGGCCUAGCACAGUGUGAGGGCAUCCAUAGGGAAUGCUGCUGCAGUGCAAGGAGCCACGGUGACGUGGCAUGGUGACCUGGAAUGGUGCCAUGGCAUGGUGACACAGAAGGCAACAUGGCAUGAUCCCUUGACAUGGCUGCAUGGCACAGUGACACAGCAUCUAGAAGGUGACACAGUAUGGGGCCGUGGCUUGGUGCUGUGGCAGAUCAGCAAUUGAAACCCACGUCUUCUCGCAGACACCACUCUGCUUUUGGCUCACGAGCCGAUCUGUCAAUUAGCAGCCUGUGUAUCGACUCCAGCCGCCAUGCCCAGAAUAGCAGCAGCAAAGUGUGGAAGCAUCUAUUAAAUUUAUUUUAAACCACGAGAGCUGAGACGCACGUCUGCUCGCACGGCGGCAGCGCGGCAGGACGUGGUGCUGCACCUCUCUGCACAGCCUGAGCACAGAGCCCAGCAGCACCAGGCAGACCUGAGGGCUGGGAGGUGCAAUGCACGACCCAGCUUUUCCUCACUGGCAGGAGGACGUGGGGAUGCAGGGCUUUGCUGAUGCGCCGGUUUGUUCUCUGCAUAAUUCCAAUUAUGUUCGACAAUUAAUUGCCCGACUGUGGGAUCUUAAACAAUGUGCUGCAUCGAUUGGAAGUGUGAUAAUCUGCUUCUAAAUGUGAUCUUGCAGCAGAUAGGGCUGCCUGGGAGGAACGGCACGUGAUGCCAUGUAGAAGGGUUGUUACGUCGAGCUCUGCCAGCCUGGCUCUGGGUUGAGCUUCAUGCACGCAGGGCCCUGCUGGGUGUCUGAGGGCCUUUACAGCAAGGGAUAUUUUAUGGCUGUUUUUUUUAUGCAAGUUGUUCUUACAGAAAGCUGAUUUGUUCUGGCUUGUUUCAUUUUCAUGGAAAAGAGUUGUGCCCGUGCUGAUUCAGCCAUCCUGGAAUCCUAGAGUUACCAACAUUGGGAAAGACCUCCAAGAUCAUCCAGUCCAACCUCCGUCUACCACCAAGGUUUUCCAAUUCCAAGCUCCUGCUUCAAUAUUGCCUUGUGAGAAAACAGAAGGGUGAUGUUAAAAGGAUUUGAACAGUUCCUGGAGGUGUCCCAGCAAAGGCUGAAUACAUUUUCAGUGGAGAAAUGGAGAGCAGUGCAGCACAGCCUGCUCGCAGACGUGGCUUGCAGGGAAACUUGUGAGAGGACAUUGAUUUAUGAUCAAAAGGGAAAAAGCAAAGCAGAAUAAAAAGAAUA